rnacentral:rRNA from 1 species
UGCAGUCGACGAUGAACUCCAGCUAGCUGGGGGGAUUAGUGGCGAACGGGUGAGUAACACGUGAGUAACCUGCCCUUGACUCUGGGAUAAGCGCUGGAAACGGCGUCUAAUACCGGAUACGAGCUUCAGCCGCAUGGCUAGGAGUUGGAAAGAAUUUUGGUCAAGGAUGGACUCGCGGCCUAUCAGCUAGUUGGUGAGGUAAUGGCUCACCAAGGCGACGACGGGUAGCCGGCCUGAGAGGGUGACCGGCCACACUGGGACUGAGACACGGCCCAGACUCCUACGGGAGGCAGCAGUGGGGAAUAUUGCACAAUGGGCGCAAGCCUGAUGCAGCAACGCCGCGUGAGGGAUGACGGCCUUCGGGUUGUAAACCUCUUUUAGUAGGGAAGAAGCGAAAGUGACGGUACCUGCAGAAAAAGCACCGGCUAACUACGUGCCAGCAGCCGCGGUAAUACGUAGGGUGCAAGCGUUGUCCGGAAUUAUUGGGCGUAAAGAGCUCGUAGGCGGUUUGUCGCGUCUGCUGUGAAAUCUGGGGGCUCAACCCCCAGCCUGCAGUGGGUACGGGCAGACUAGAGUGCGGUAGGGGAGAUUGGAAUUCCUGGUGUAGCGGUGGAAUGCGCAGAUAUCAGGAGGAACACCGAUGGCGAAGGCAGAUCUCUGGGCCGUAACUGACGCUGAGGAGCGAAAGCGUGGGGAGCGAACAGGAUUAGAUACCCUGGUAGUCCACGCCGUAAACGUUGGGAACUAGAUGUGGGGACCAUUCCACGGUCUCCGUGUCGCAGCUAACGCAUUAAGUUCCCCGCCUGGGGAGUAC